CCUACGGGAGGCAGCAGUGAGGAAUAUUGGUCAAUGGGCGCGAGCCUGAACCAGCCAAGUAGCGUGAAGGAUGACUACCCUACGGGUUGUAAACUUCUUUUAUAAAGGAAUAAAGUGAGGCACGUGUGCCUUUUUGUAUGUACUUUAUGAAUACGGCUCGGCUAAUUCCGUGCCAGCAGCCGCGGUAAUACGGAGGUUCCGAGCGUUAUCCGGAUUUAUUGGGGUAAAAGGGAGCGUAGAUGGGGUGUUAAGUCAGUUGUGAAAGUUUGCGUCUAAACCGUAAAUUGCAAUUGAUACUGGCAGUCUUGAGUACAGGUGGGGUAGGCGGAAUUCGUGGUGUAGCGGUGAAAUGCUUAGAUAUCACGAAGAACACCGAUUGCGAAGGCAGCUUACUAAACUGCCACUGACAUUGAUGCUCGAAAGUGUGGGUAUCAAACAGGAUUAGAUACCCGGGUAGUC
rnacentral:rRNA from 1 species